rnacentral:tRNA from 1 species
GGUGGGGUGGCCGAGUUGGUUAGGCAAGGGUCUGCAAAACCCUCAACGGCGGUUCAAAUCCGUCCCCACACCU